GGCGCUUGCGCCGCAUAUCGCUGUGGGAGCGCGUUCGGCACGCUGCGUGUGCGCGAUGGGGCGGUGCGGGCUCUCGGGACGCCGGGCGCGGAGCCGGACUCCACCAGCAACCUAAAGGAGCCCCCUGGAUGCCCAGCCUGCUGGCACCUGCCACUGUGAGACCUGGAGGGGCACUGAGACCCCAAAGAAUACCAUGAGCACCACCGCUCAUUCUUGGCCCACUUUGGACUGUUGCUUUGUUUGGUGGCCGACUCCUCCGCCAAGGGGAAACCAGGGUUCCCAGGCUGGGAGACUUGCCUGGAUGAGGGACCUGUCGUCUAGCAGCAGAUCUCACCACAACUCGUCUCUGGCACACUGGCUCUAAGCAGAAAGGAUGUUCUUGGUAAGAAAAUGCCACCAGAAGGGGCCACAGAUGUUCCUGUUGAAAUUACCUUCUGCAAAAAGAGUCCCAUCUGUUGCACAGGGAGACACGAAUACAACAGAACUCACAGCAUGUCCCUGAGAACUUUGAAAGACAGCAGGCGGUUAGAACCAGCUGUUCCAGGUGCGGUCAAGGGCCCUCCGUGGGCGCAGUUUUCUCUGGGAAGACAGUGGCCUUGGCUUGCCUGAAGGAUGGGGAAGGAGGGAGGAGGCGGCAAGCCCCUCGCACCCUGGGGAGAGCUUCUUAUGAAGCCUGUGGACAUGAGAGAUAAUUUGAAUCUAAGGCUGAUUAAAUUGUUCCCCACCAGCCCCCUG